CAACUUGUGUCAUUUUCCUUCUUUCCUCACCUUGUAGAUGGGGGAAUCUGGAAGUUGGCACUACAAGCUUG